UGUAUAUAUCAAAAGAUGGCAGGGAC
rnacentral:piRNA from 1 species